CAAGGGGAGUGAAAGAGUACCUGAAACCGAUUGCNUACAAACAGUGGAAGCCCAAGGUUCGUCCUGGGUGACCACGUACCUUUUGUAUAAUGGGUCAGCGACUUAGUGUGACGAGCAAGCUUAAACCGNUAGGUGUAGGCGCAGCGAAAGCGAGUCUGAACAGGGCGUUCAGUUCG
rnacentral:rRNA from 1 species